rnacentral:rRNA from 1 species
AUUGAACGCUGGCGGCAGGCCUAACACAUGCAAGUCGAACGGUAACAGGAAACAGCUUGCUGUUUCGCUGACGAGUGGCGGACGGGUGAGUAAUGUCUGGGAAACUGCCUGAUGGAGGGGGAUAACUACUGGAAACGGUAGCUAAUACCGCAUAACGUCGCAAGACCAAAGAGGGGGACCUUCGGGCCUCUUGCCAUCGGAUGUGCCCAGAUGGGAUUAGCUAGUAGGUGGGGUAACGGCUCACCUAGGCGACGAUCCCUAGCUGGUCUGAGAGGAUGACCAGCCACACUGGAACUGAGACACGGUCCAGACUCUUACGGGAGGCGGCAGUGGGGAAUAUUGCACAAUGGGCGCAAGCCUGAUGCAGCCAUGUCGCGUGUAUGAAGAAGGCCUUCGGGUUGUAAAGUACUUUCAGCGGGGAGGAAGGGAGUAAAGUUAAUACCUUUGCUCAUUGACGUUACCCGCAGAAGAAGCACCGGCUAACUCCGUGCCAGCCGCCGCCGUAA